UAUCCAACCUUCCGUUUACUCAGGGAUAGCCUUUCGAAAGAAAGAUUAAUACCUGAUAGUAUGGUGAGAUUGCAUGAUAGCACCAUUAAAGAUUUAUUGGUAAACGAUGGGGAUGCGUUCCAUUAGGUAGUAGGCGGGGUAACGGCCCACCUAGCCGACGAUGGAUAGGGGUUCUGAGAGGAAGGUCCCCCACAUUGGAACUGAGACACGGUCCAAACUCCUACGGGAGGCAGCAGUGAGGAAUAUUGGUCAAUGGGCGAGAGCCUGAACCAGCCAAGUAGCGUGAAGGAUGAAGGUCCUACGGAUUGUAAACUUCUUUUAUACGGGAAUAAAGUAUCCUACGUGUAGGAUUUUGUAUGUACCGUAUGAAUAAGCAUCGGCUAACUCCGUGCCAGCAGCCGCGGUAAUACGGAGGAUGCGAGCGUUAUCCGGAUUUAUUGGGUUUAAAGGGAGCGCAGACGGGAGAUUAAGUCAGUUGUGAAAGUUUGCGGCUCAACCGUAAAAUUGCAGUUGAUACUGGUUUCCUUGAGUGCAGUUGA
rnacentral:rRNA from 1 species